CACGUGGGUAACCUGCCUUAUAGUGGGGGAGUAGCCUUUCGAAAGGAAGAUUAAUACCGCAUAAGAUUGUAGUAUCGCAUGAUAUAGCAAUUAAAAGGAGCAAUUCGCUAUAAGAUGGACCCGCGUCGCAUUAGCUAGUUGGUGAGGUAAUGGCUCACCAAGGCGACGAUGCGUAGCCGACCUGAGAGGGUGAACGGCCACAUUGGGACUGAGACACGGCCCAGACUCCUACGGGAGGCAGCAUG
rnacentral:rRNA from 1 species